CGAGAACUACUUCUUGUCGCAAAUAACAACAGUUUUUUACGACGAGGCUCAUUUCUAGUUGCAAAUGUAGAGUAUCUCCUCGUAGGAGCUGGAAUAUUUGUGCACACGUGAAAAAGGGUCUGGCGGGACUUAAUUGUAUUGGCGUUUGAAAAUUCGAAACUUCAAAAGUUUCACUAAAUUUCCUAAAUUCUCAUGAGUUGCCCCCUUCUUCAAACACUCGAAUUCAACCACUGAAACCCUCAAACUCAAACAAUGUCGGGCUGCUUCAAUCGCAUCAUUGUGCUGCUGCGUUCUCUAGUCUUCAUUGUUUCCAUGCUUAUGAUUAAACGACUCAACAACGUCAGUUAGCACUUACCAGGAAAGGAAAGGGAGAAGAAAGGAAGAAAAAAGAAGGUGAAGAAAACGGGCUAUACGAGGUUAAGGAAUGUGAAAGUGCCUGAUAAUGCUAGGUGGGUACUCUAUGGGGAUGAAGAGAGUUACGAGAGUGAGUGCUUAAAAAAUGUUCAUGUUUUGCUUAUGCUUAUUAUUUGGCUAUUGGGUGUAUGAUUUGUAAUCGAAGCUGUUAUAAGUAUACCUUGA